GAUUGCAAAAAAAAAAUCCCAAACAUAAUGCAUCGCGGUGCAUUUUAUUAUACGUUUUUUGUUGCGUCCAUAGUUUUCUCUGAGCCGUCGUCGCCGUCGUUGUGCUUUGUGUGGUGGCUCCUUGGGCAAUUCCUAGCUUCCCGAAGACUAGGUGGUGGUCCGUAAAAGGCUAAUAAUAUUCAGGGACUGCUGUGCAUCUUCCGUGUAGCUAGUUUCUCAUAGGUUGGGGUGGGUGUGAGGGGUGGAUGCGAUUACCCCAGAGGUGGCAGAUCCUGGUCUCCCACUUUUAAUCGAAUUUCAACUCACGGGACAGAGCGAGAGAUUGAAAUGGCUGGAGAGAGAGAGAGAGUGAGACACCGUCCCGUGAAUAACUCUACUCAGAGAAUGCAACUUGGAAGUGCAGCAAGCGCACUGUGCACUGGUUUUGUGGAGGUUCAAGAUCGGAAGAAAUUGAAUGUGCAAUGCAAACUUGGUCGUUGUUUUUUCAAAACCGUUGUUCGACCGUGCGGGUACAAGUCGUGUAUCGGUGAAGGAGCCAGUCAGCGAGAAGAAAUGUCUCAAAGUGUGAAAAAUUGUGCAAUGUGCAACGUUUUAGGAGGAAAACCCAACGGAAGAAAAACGAAGGCAUUGCUUUACUCCAGGCACACCACUAAGCAAGUGACAAUAAUAGGUUCAUUUUUCCUCUCGCGUAUCAGCUUGAACGGUAAAUUCUUCACAUCGUGUUCCUUGGGUUCAAAUCUUCUUCCCGGCAUUAUCGCGAGUUGUGCUAAGAAAAACAACAAACGACGACUGACAACGAAUAAUUCCGCGGAACGCGUGAUUUGCUACUGGGCCCUGCUAACAUCGUUUUUAAUAGAACAUCAUGAAGUGUGAAAAGUGCCCCUCAGAACUAGUGAAUGGCACGAAGAAUCGUUUGCGAAUUCCUUGUGCUCAGAUGUGGCGGUGGAAAAAAAGUGGAAAACAUUUGCGACGAUAUUUUAGGCGUGGAUUUUUGAGUUACGGCGAUCGAAAAGAGGACUCCACUGUUGGAAAAUUGGACCUUAGCGGCGGCUGAAGACAUUCACUGCAAUCGGGAGGAUCAUAGUUUUUUCUAGAUUUUGUCUCAAGUUGUUUAUUUUUAGCUCCAUUAGCGGUGAUAUUCGAAACGAACUUACGUGGCAAUUGCUGUUCAUGUUCUCGAUGGCGUAGUUCAAGCUGCCUCCAUCAUCGUUUGUGUCUCGGUGGACCCAUCGAUCAACUAUGGAUUAUUAGGUUAUUUCUGAGCAUUUGUCAUUUUGGUAAGAUCAACCCAUUAUAUGCAUAUGUGUAGUCAUCUCUCCUUUUCCCAUCCACUCAAAUUGAUCCGUUGGAAAGACAAACAAAUCCUGAUCCUUCCCCACAAUCUGGCAGCAAUUACACCCAACUAUCACGCGUUAAACCAGUGUUAUGGCAGUUCUCAUUUGCGGGAACCCGUAGAUCCGAACUUGUGCUGCCAAUUCACAUGUUACAAGAACGGAUGUAUGGGAUUCUGCCGAUGUAUGGCAAAGCAUCGAUCCGUACUGAGCUGAGUCCAGUUGAGCAUCUUCCCUUCGGUGUUUGUCUGUGAACUAUCAAUCCUCCAUUCCGACCGAUUUCCCCCCAAAUGCCAUCGUAGCUGUGCACGAGAAAAAAAAAUCAAACAAAAUUUCUGGAUUCCAAAUGAACCAAUAAAAAUCCCACACAUAGUGACAUAGUGAAUGUGUAUGUAUGUGUGUGUGGACUGUAUACACAUGGUGACGGUGAAAAGCGAUGCACCUCUGGAUCAAGUGUAAAGUGUAUAGGGAAGCACCAGAGCAAUACGAAAAUUCACAAUAUGUCGGAACCAAACUAACCUUAUAAUAUUGGACGCAAAUUGAAUUGGUGCCAAGUCUCCGCGGUACAAACAAAAACAAAAACUAGUCGUAGUGAUUCUAGAGAAUUACCUCCCCCUUCCCGUUUACUUUCCCGUUCGCUGUCUUCCAAAAAUACACACAUACACUAUCGAUAUAAUUUUCUUUUUAGACUAAGCAAAAUCAUGACCGCAAAAAGUCGAAAUAAAAAAUUAAAAAUAAUUGGCUGUUUUACUUACUGCAGUUUCGUUUCACGUCCUGAUGCAAA